rnacentral:tRNA from 1 species
GCACCCCCGCAGUCGGUAGAGCAGGCGACUGUUAAUCGCCGGGUCGCUGGUUCGAGUCCAGCAGCUGGAGCU